CACAGCCGCGGGAAUACGUAGGUCCCGAGCGUUGUCCGGAUUUGUUGGGCGUAAAGCGAGCGCAGGCGGUUAGAUAAGUCUGGAGUUAAAGGCUGUGGCUUAACCAUAGUAUGCUUUGGAAACUGUUUAACUUGAGUGCAGAAGGGGAGAGUGGAAUUCCAUGUGUAGCGGUGAAAUGCGUAGAUAUAUGGAGGAACACCGGUGGCGAAAGCGGCUCUCUGGUCUGUAACUGACGCUGAGGCUCGAAAGCGUGGGGAGCAAACAGGAUUAGAUACCCCCGUAGUCCCUGUCUCUUAUACAC
rnacentral:rRNA from 1 species